AAAGAGUCUUAGAGCAUGAAAAACACCACCAAAACUUAAGAAGACUCAUGAAGUUGUGGGUAGGAAGGUCAGAAAAGACUUGUGCGUUUUGGAGGAGAAGGUGUUACAGGUGUCAGGAACAGUAUGGAUCAGAGCAGGGAGGCAGGAAAGCUUCACCUUUAUGUGAGAACAAGGCAGGGUCUAAUUUGGUUGGGGCAAACUAGGAUAAGAAAGGUUGCUUUGGGCUACCAAUGGAGAGAGGAAAUGAAAAACGAAGGUGAGACUUGGCACGUUGUCGACAGGCAACAGAGGGUCACUAAAGGUACCUAAAUGGGGAUAUUGGAGGUCAAAUCUUGUUAUAUUUUAAAGCUAAGAGAAUCUAGUGGGUAAGGAAGACAGAGGAGUCCAAGAUUACAGCAUAUUUUUCUACCUGGGUGACUGAGGACAUGGUGAUAUUUGCCAGAAAUAGACAAGUCAGAAAAAGGGACUGGUUCAGUAACAGAAAUUGCUCUGCCGGGACAGUUUUGGUGGCAAAUGCCAGUGAGUCAUCCCAGUGGCAGUGACCUGCUAGCUGUUGGAAAUGGAGGUGCCAGAGAGAGAGGCUGAGGACAAGGAUAUGGAUUAGGAGCUAGCUCCAAAGACAGUCAUAGAAUGGGAAUGUAUCAUGGCACAGGAAGGGACCGAGGGAGAAGGGAAGAGGGCUAAGGCUAGACCUUGGCAACAGAACACUGAUGGGAAAGACGGAAGAAGAGGAGCCUGAGGAAGGCUAAAGAGGAAUAAUUACUAAUGAGGAGAAGUAAGGCAGUUCCAUGUCAUGGAAACCAACAAAAAUGGAGACGUCAAGAGGGUAAGACCCAAGAAAAGCCAGUGACCUCGGAGAGGCGUCCGCAUAUAGUUCUGGGAUGAGGCCAUAUCGCCAGGUCCAAAUAAUUUUUGAAUUAUAUGGAAAAAAACCCCCAGACUGUGUGAGGACCACACGUUUAAGAAUAAGGGAAAAUAAGGAGUGAGAGAGUAAGGUAGUGCAAGGAGGAGGUGGCUCAAAGGGUUAUGGGAAACCUGAGGUGCUUUGUAGAAUGAAGGGAAAGACGUGCCGUGAGCUCACUCAGUCCCGCCUACCUUCCUAAUGCAGGAAACUAAGAUCAGAAAAGAGAACAAGAGAAGGAGGCUGGAUGGUUUGCCGGAUACCAGAAUAUGAAGAAAUUGAUCCCAAGGAUGCCUUCACCCUGCCUCAUGAGGCAGCUUCUCUUUGGCACCACUCCUCCCUUCAGCCAUGAUGUCGGAGUUCCUGAGCCCUGCCUCGUGUGCAUGAGGUCUGACCGGUGGGGAGGCGGGUAGAGUGAACGCUGAACCCCAGGUGUCACGUGGCAUGGCUCGCGGUGCUGCAAGAGUGCGUGGGGGUGGAAAUGCAAUCUCAUUGAAAAAUUAACUGAAACAGCCGCUGGCAAGCUCCGCUACAAAGUAACUUCAUGCAUUUCAGUCUUCAAAAUGACUUUUGGACAAUCUUUUGUUUAUCUCCAGCAUUGCUCUUCUCCAUUAGCAGAAAGAUACACACGCAUUAGCUUGUGUGUAUCUACAGGGACGUCUCCCUCUCUCUCCCCCUACUCUUUCCACCCUCCCCACCCCCAAAAGCUGACGUGUUAAUUAGUGGGGAUAGUGCAUUGUUCAAAUUGUCACAAUGUGUGAAGAAGCCAGCCUGAAGAUGAGGUAGGCCAUCAGCAUGAAUUCCGUUCUCCAGGAGAGAUGGGAAAUUCUUGCGGGCCGGAGAGAGUAAUCACUUUAUUUCAGUCUCAGCUGCAUACCGGGUUUCGUCGGCUACUGUAAGGUUGAGUAAUCCCAGAUUGCUAGGGCUGCUCUCCCAUGCAUUAAAUGAGAGAAUAUGCAAAUACUAGGUAACCUGUAAGUCCUGAAUAAAGGUUAUCCUUUUAUCCUA